rnacentral:rRNA from 1 species
GAUGAACGCUGGCGGCGUGCCUAAUACAUGCAAGUCGAGCGAACAGAUGAGGAGCUUGCUCCUCUGACGUUAGCGGCGGACGGGUGAGUAACACGUGGAUAACCUACCUAUAAGACUGGGAUAACUUCGGGAAACCGGAGCUAAUACCGGAUAAUAUAUUGAACCGCAUGGUUCAAUAGUGAAAGACGGUUUUGCUGUCACUUAUAGAUGGAUCCGCGCCGCAUUAGCUAGUUGGUAAGGUAACGGCUUACUAAGGCAACGAUGCGUAGCCGACCUGAGAGGGUGAUCGGCCACACUGGAACUGAGACACGGUCCAGACUCCUACGGGAGGCAGCGGUAGGGAAUCUUCCGCAAUGGGCGAAAGCUUGACGGAGCAACGCCGCGUGAGUGAUGAAGGUCUUCGGAUCGUAAAACUCUGUUAUUAGGGAAGAACAAAUGUGUAAGUAACUAUGCACGUCUUGACGGUACCUAAUCAGAAAGCCACGGCUAACUACGUG